CCUACGGGAGGCUGCAGUGAGGAAUAUUGGUCAAUGGACGAGAGUCUGAACCAGCCAAGUAGCGUGAAGGAUGACUGCCCUAUGGGUUGUAAACUUCUUUUAUAAAGGAAUAAAACGAGGCACGUGUGCCUUUUUGCAUGUACUUUAUGAAUAAGGAUCGGCUAACUCCGUGCCAGCAGCCGCGGUAAUACGGAGGAUCCGAGCGUUAUCCGGAUUUAUUUGGUUUAAAGGGAGCGUAGAUGGGUUGUUAAGUCAGUUGUUCAAGUUUGCGGCUCAACCGUAAAAUUGCAAUUGAUACUGGCAGUCUUGAGUACAGUUGAGGUAGGCGGAAUUCGUGGUGUAGCGGUGAAAUGCAUAGAUAUCACGAAGAACCCCGAUUGCGAAGGCAGCUUACUAAACUGUGACUGACAUUGAUGCUCGAAAGUGUGGGUAUCAAACAGGAUUAGAUACCCGUGUAGUC
rnacentral:rRNA from 1 species